CAAUAGCGUAUAUUAAAGUUGUUGCAGUUAAAAAGCUCGUAGUUGAAUUUUUGCUUGCCGCCGAUGUCGGAACUUCCGUACGUUCGGCGGCGUGCAUCCUUGGGUGGAACCUGUGUGGCAUUAGGUUAUCGUGCAGGGGAUGCUCAUCGUUUACUGUGAAAAAAUUAGAGUGUUCAAAGCAGGCUUAUGCCGUUGAAUAUAUUAGCAUGGAAUAAUAAGAUAGGACCUUGGUACUAUUUUGUUGGUUUGCGCACCGAGGUAAUGAUUAACAGGGACAGUUGGGGGUAUUCGUAUUCCAUUGUCAGAGGUGAAAUUCUUGGAUUUCUGGAAGACGAACUACUGCGAAAGCAUUUACCAAGGAUGUUUUCAUUAA
rnacentral:rRNA from 1 species